rnacentral:rRNA from 1 species
AUUGAACGCUGGCGGCGUGCUUAACACAUGCAAGUCGAUCGGUAACGCGGGGGCAACCCUGGCGACGAGAGGCGGACGGGUGAGGAACGCUUGGGAAUCUGCCUAUCAGCGGGGGACAACACGGGGAAACUCGUGCUAAUACCGCAUACGCUCUACGGAGGAAAGCCGGGGACCGCAAGGCCUGGCACUGAUAGAUGAGCCCAAGCCGGAUUAGCUAGUUGGCGGGGUAACGGCCCACCAAGGCGACAAUCCGUAGCUGGUCUGAAGGGACGAGCAGCCACCCUGGGACUGAGACACGGCCCAGACUCCUACGGGAGGCAGCAGUGGGGAAUAUUGGACAAUGGGGGAAACCCUGAUCCAGCGACGCCGCGUGGGUGAAGAAGGCCUGCGGGUUGUAAAGCCCUUUCGGUAGGGACGAAAGCUCUCGACCUAACACGUCGGGAGGUUGACUUAACCUACAAAAGAAGCACCGGCUAACUCUGUGCCAGCCGCCGCAGUAAGAC